rnacentral:misc_RNA from 1 species
GAAUUGCGAAAAGUAAUGUGAAUUGCAUAUACCGUGAAUCAUCAAAUCUUUGAACGCACCUUGCACCAUUGGGAAUUCUCGAUGGUACGUCUGUUUGAGUAUCAAUUAAUAUCUGCAAGAUUACUUGGCAACGAGUGAUUUCGCAUUUCGAAUGAAUAGUUACCACGUAACUACCAUUUUGGAAAUAUAGUCUGGCAAUGCUAGUCAACAGAGUUUAAACACUUCUGCUAGAGGGCUGCGCCGAUAGACUCAAGUGCAACACGUUUGUACUAAAACUUUGAUCUCAAAUCAGACGAGGAUACCCGCUGAACUUAA